rnacentral:lncRNA from 1 species
GCAAGACAAAGCCCAUCUGAAAAGAUUUCCAUACAGUUUUUUUGAGUAUGGCUUCUUUCACCUGGCAUGAUGCAUCUGAGAUUCAUCCAUGCUGUCAUGUGUAUCAGUACUGCCUGCCUUCUUACUGCUGAGUAGGAUUCCAUGUUGAUCUUUGAGUUAGGGGACAUGGUAGCUGCUGAUUCAACUAUCAUUGAACCUCCUUAUUGAAGAAUGACAUUGCCAAGAUAGCACCAAGUCUCAGAAUCUGAAAACUUAAUACAGUGAUUUCUAAUUCAGCUAGUCAUCAAAAUCACCUGCAGAACUUUACAAAAAUUUAAAUCAUCCUGCCCAGAGAUUCUAUUCAACAAGUUUUGGAGCAAACCCGGAAACUGAAUUUUGAAAUGUUCCCAGAUAAUUCUGUCGAUCAGCCAAGUCUGGGAAUCUCCAGGUGAAAUGCCGAGGACUUGGUCCAUCUGCAGGCUCAUCUCAUGACUACAGCCUAGCCAAGAUGGGAAAACAGGCUUAAGGAAGGAUAAGUAACUUGUUCAAGUACUGGCUCCUGAGCUCAGAGAAGAUAAGGAGAGGAUCAUGCUGGCGUGAGCACUGACCACAGAGGGAACGAGAGACCCAAGAAAUACCCUUUCCCUGUGGUGACAGGAUGGAAACUGCCAAUCUCUCUGCAGGCGCCCCUCUGGCUGGUAGGAGGCACCAGAACACACUGCAUGCUCCAGUGUGUGAUAUGCUGCUGUUUCUUAAAAGCCUGUGUGAGAGGUCAGUGCCACCAAGUGGCUGAAAGGUGAGUGGGCAAAUGGAAGGGUAUCUGCAAUACAGUGGCUUCCUAGUACUUCCCCUCCCCUUCCUCCUGCCUCUACCACCCACCCAUUACCCCAUGUCUCUCAGGACUCUAUGCUGUCCUAGGCAGACUAUAGGGUACUGGAUUAAUCUCCUCUUUUAAGUUAGCUCUCAGGUGUCCAACUCUCCCUUUACACCUUAAUCUAGACUUUGGCCUCCUUCCCUGCUUUAACUGAUUGAUCUCAUCAUGAGGAAGAACUCGGUGACUACAGACCAAAGACUCCUUCAUUGGGUAGGAAAGACUGAGAAUAAAUCAGUGUUCCCUCUCUAUCGGUGGAUACUUUCAUGUUUGCUCUGAGGUCUGGCUUAACUCAAGGAACUAACUGGUAAUGAAGGAA